CACGUCCAUACGGAAGAAGUUCCAAGCCCACAAUGGGCUCUAUGAACUGUCCAGGGCAAAGUCGGUCUACCCUGAUGACACUCCCUGUUCCUUGAUGGUAACCAUGGCUGCUGCCCUCAACGUGAGCCCUCAGAAAUAAACUGAUAUCAACAAUUAAAAUGGAUGGUGAUUGUGGCAAGGGGUGCCUCCAUAAGGUGCCAUCCAGAAGUCCCAGCCUGGAGCCAGUGGCUGCUAUUGCAAGACUCAUGGGGGAUGAUCUGCAGGCAAAGCUGCGAUUAG